UAUGAAAAGUAUAUAGAAAUGUGAAUCGAAUUGCCAUGCAUGAAAUGAUAUGAAAAGUAUGAAUUGAGAUAUGAUGCAUAUGAAUGAAUGGUGCGGCGGACGCACAGGUGAGUAUCAGGUGAGUAUUUAAUUACUGUUAUGAUGAUGUUGAUAUAUAUUGAGCUCAAAUCCUGCACCAUGGUUUAGUGCUUAUAGUAUUCACCGCAUCGCACGCUCGCCUUGGAUCCAAGUAGAUGCUAGUCGUACAGUCCACGCGGAGUGGGUACGACAGGCCAGUCGCGAGAGUGUUAGUGAGAUUCCGACUGGUGGGUGACCUUAGAUUAUGUGCACAGAUGAUUUAUGAGAAGCACUAGAGCGUAACUUGUGUGCAGAAGGCCGGACGGGUCACAGAGGUGACUCCGGUAGAGUGAUAGUGAUAGAUUUUGAGCUCUAGGUUCAACCGUACAGGGCUAUUAGAGGGCCUACGGUUGAUUACUUUCUUGCACCUGAUAUGAUUAUUGUUGAUGCAUCCAUACUUAACUAUUGAAUUAGACAUGGCAUGGCAUGAUUGAUAAAGAAAAAUGUUGAGAUAGUAAAAAUGAAGUUUUGAGAAUAUAUAUGUAUAUUUAUAUUUUACAUUUCUGGGAAAGUAUACAGGUUUUACGGAGAGGGGUUACAACGUUUUGAGAAAUGUUUGGAUUUUGAAAAGAAUUGUUUUACUGACCCACUCAAUUUUGGUUUUGCGCCCCUCCAGGUUCAAGAAUCACAAAGGUGUGGUGACUACGAGGAAUUCGACGGUGUUCUGACAGAUUGGACAAAAUUAGGACUCACCUUCGGGUGUAUCAACUUAUAAAUUGUAUCUUAAAGCUUCCGUACUGUGUAAAUGGUUACGUCACUCUCACGUGACGGCCAGCAUGCCCUCCUUCGGGACGGGGUGUGUCAGUCGACCUUAGAUUAUGUGCACAGAUGAUUUAUGAGAAGCACUAGAGCGUAACUUGUGUGCAGAAGGCCGGACGGGUCACAGAGGUGACUCCGGUAGAGUGAUAGUGAUAGAUUUUGAGCUCUAGGUUCAACCGUACAGGGCUAUUAGAGGGCCUACGGUUGAUUACUUUCUUGCACCUGAUAUGAUUAUUGUUGAUGCAUCCAUACUUAACUAUUGAAUUAGACAUGGCAUGGCAUGAUUGAUAAAGAAAAAUGUUGAGAUAGUAAAAAUGAAGUUUUGAGAAUAUAUAUGUAUAUUUAUAUUUUACAUUUCUGGGAAAGUAUACAGGUUUUACGGAGAGGGGUUACAACGUUUUGAGAAAUGUUUGGAUUUUGAAAAGAAUUGUUUUACUGACCCACUCAAUUUUGGUUUUGCGCCCCUCCAGGUUCAAGAAUCACAAAGGUGUGGUGACUACGAGGAAUUCGACGGUGUUCUGACAGAUUGGACAAAAUUAGGACUCACCUUCGGGUGUAUCAACUUAUAAAUUGUAUCUUAAAGCUUCCGUACUGUGCAAAUGGUUACGUCACUCUCACGUGACGGCCAGCAUGCCCUCCUUCGGGACGGGGUGUGUCACUAA
rnacentral:lncRNA from 1 species